rnacentral:rRNA from 1 species
UAGGGAAUCUUCCGCAAUGGGCGAAAGCCUGACGGAGCAACGCCGCGUGAGUGAUGAAGGUCUUCGGAUCGUAAAACUCUGUUAUUAGGGAAGAACAAAUGUGUAAGUAACUAUGCACGUCUUGACGGUACCUAAUCAGAAAGCCACGGCUAACUACGUGCCAGCAGCCGCGGUAAUACGUAGGUGGCAAGCGUUAUCCGGAAUUAUUGGGCGUAAAGCGCGCGUAGGCGGUUUUUUAAGUCUGAUGUGAAAGCCCACGGCUCAACCGUGGAGGGUCAUUGGAAACUGGAAAACUUGAGUGCAGAAGAGGAAAGUGGAAUUCCAUGUGUAGCGGUGAAAUGCGCAGAGAUAUGGAGGAACACCAGUGGCGAAGGCGACUUUCUGGUCUGUAACUGACGCUGAUGUGCGUAAGCGUGGGGAUCAAACAGG